GUAGGGUGCGAGCGUUAAUCGGAAUUACUGGGCGUAAAGCGUGCGCAGGCGGUUUGAUAAGACAGGCGUGAAAUCCCCGAGCUCAACUUGGGAAUGGCGCUUGUGACUGUCAGGCUAGAGUAUGUCAGAGGGGGGUAGAAUUCCACGUGUAGCAGUGAAAUGCGUAGAGAUGUGGAGGAAUACCGAUGGCGAAGGCAGCCCCCUGGGACGUCACUGACGCUCAUGCACGAAAGCGUGGGGAGCAAACAGGAUUAGAUACCCUGGUAGUCCACGCCCUAAACGAUGUCAACUAGUUGUUGGGGAUUCAUUUCUUCAGUAACGUAGCUAACGCGUGAAGUUGACCGCCUGGGGAGUACGGUCGCAAGAUUAAA
rnacentral:rRNA from 1 species